AGAGUUUGAUCAUGGCUCAGAACGAACGCUGGCGGCAGGCCUAACACAUGCAAGUCGAGCGCCCCGCAAGGGGAGCGGCGGACGGGUGAGUAACGCGUGGGAACGUACCCUUUGCUACGGAAUAGCCUCGGGAAACUGGGAGUAAUACCGUAUGUGCCCUUCGGGGGAAAGAUUUAUCGGCAAAGGAUCGGCCCGCGUUGGAUUAGGUAGUUGGUGGGGUAAUGGCCUACCAAGCCGACGAUCCAUAGCUGGUUUGAGAGGAUGAUCAGCCACACUGGGACUGAGACACGGCCCAGACUCCUACGGGAGGCAGCAGUGGGGAAUCUUAGACAAUGGGCGCAAGCCUGAUCUAGCCAUGCCGCGUGAGCGAUGAAGGCCUUAGGGUUGUAAAGCUCUUUCAGUGGGGAAGAUAAUGACUGUACCCACAGAAGAAGCCCCGGCUAACUCCGUGCCAGCAGCCGCGGUAAUACGGAGGGGGCUAGCGUUGUUCGGAAUUACUGGGCGUAAAGCGCACGUAGGCGGACUGGAAAGUCAGAGGUGAAAUCCCAGGGCUCAACCUUGGAACUGCCUUUGAAACUCCCGGUCUUGAGGUCGAGAGAGGUGAGUGGAAUUCCGAGUGUAGAGGUGAAAUUCGUAGAUAUUCGGAGGAACACCAGUGGCGAAGGCGGCUCACUGGCUCGAUACUGACGCUGAGGUGC
rnacentral:rRNA from 1 species